UGCCAGCCGCCGCGGUAAUACGGGGGGGGCGAGCGUUAUUCGGAAUUAUUGGGCGUAAAGGGCGCGUAGGCGGCUUGGUAAGUCAAAGGUGAAAUCCCUCGGCUCAACUGAGGAAUUGCCUUUGAAACUGCCUGGCUUGAGGCCGGGAGGGGGUAGCGGAAUUCCCAGUGUAGCGGUGAAAUGCGUAGAUACUGGGAGGAACACCGGUGGCGAAGGUGGCUACCUGGACUGCAACUGACACUGAGGAACGAAAGCCAGGGGAGCAAACGGGAUUAGAUA
rnacentral:rRNA from 1 species